GGGGACGUAGAGCGUUACGGAGACGCGUCGGCCUGUAGAGCCGAAGCCCGACAGGGCCCUCUGGGUUCGACUCCCAGCGUCCCCA
rnacentral:tRNA from 1 species